rnacentral:tRNA from 1 species
GCGCCGGUGGUGUAAGGCGAACAUCGCUGCCCGGAAAGCAGAAGAUGUGGGUUCGAGUCUCUCCUGGCGCA